rfam:Ciona savignyi cont_48795, whole genome shotgun sequence.
UGAGCAAUAACAGGUCUGUGAUGCCCUUAGAUGUUCGGGGCCGCACGCGCGCUACACUGACCGGAUCAGCGUGUGCUCUCCUUGGCCGACAGGUCCGGGAAACCCGUUGAACCCCGGUCGUGCUAGGGAUAGGGAAUUGCAAUUAUUUCCCUUGAACGAGGAAUUCCCAGUAAGCGCGAGUCAUUAGCUCGCGUUGAUUACGUCCCUGCCCUUUGUACACACCGCCCGUCGCUACUACCGAUUGAAUGGUUUAGUGAGGUCCUCCGAUUGGACCCGGUCCGGGCGGCGACGUCCGAGCCGGCGUCCGAGAAGACGAUCUAACUUGAUCAUUUAGAGGAAGUAAAAGUCGUAACAAGGUUUCCGUAGGUGAACCUGCGGAAGGAUCAUUA